rnacentral:rRNA from 1 species
ACGCUCGACACCUGGAGGCAGCAGUGAGGAAUAUUGGUCAAUGGACGCAAGUCUGAACCAGCCAUGCCGCGUGCAGGAUGACGGCUCUAUGAGUUGUAAACUGCUUUUGUACGAGGGUAAACGCAGAUACGUGUAUCUGUCUGAAAGUAUCGUACGAAUAAGGAUCGGCUAACUCCGUGCCGGCAGCCGCGGUAAUCUGAGCGGGCUGGCAAGGC